CUUUAAAAAAAAAAAAAAUACUAUCAUGGCACAUGUUUCUUAAAUAAACUGUUAAAUAUAUUUAAGUUUUAUGCAAUAAUAACAGUUAAGUGGGUUUGGCCGAGUGGUUGUGUUUUUGCUCACCCAAAGGACACAAGUUCGAGUCCCUUCUAGCAUUGUUUGGAUAUUUUUAUUUAAAUUUUCAUUCCAACACAAAACCGGUUCGGUUCUUGGCGGGUUUUCCGGUUCACCGGUUUAACCGUAGAAUUCGCCGGGUUACGCCGGUUUUCUCCGGUUUAUUUGCUUAACCGGUUCUGCAAGCUGAUUGACCCGUUAAUAUCUCCGGUUCCCGGCCGGAC
rnacentral:lncRNA from 1 species